AACGAACGCUGGCGGCAUGCCUAACACAUGCAAGUCGAACGAGACCUUCGGGUCUAGUGGCGCACGGGUGCGUAACGCGUGGGAACCUGCCCUUGGGUUCGGAAUAACUCCCCGAAAGGGGUGCUAAUACCGGAUAAUGUCUUCGGACCAAAGAUUUAUCGCCUUUGGAUGGGCCCGCGUUGGAUUAGCUAGUUGGUAGGGUAAAAGCCUACCAAGGCGACGAUCCAUAGCUGGUCGGAGAGGAUGAUCAGCCACACUGGGACUGAGACACGGCCCAGACUCCUACGGGAGGCAGCAGUGGGGAAUAUUGGACAAUGGGCGAAAGCCUGAUCCAGCAAUGCCGCGUGAGUGAUGAAGGCCUUAGGGUUGUAAAGCUCUUUUACCCGGGAUGAUAAUGACAGUACCGGGAGAAUAAGCUCCGGCUAACUCCGUG
rnacentral:rRNA from 1 species